AGGUGGGGCUGAUGACUGGGGUGAAGUCGUAACAAGGUAUCCGUACCGGAAGGUGCGGAUGGAUCACCUCCUAACAGGGAGACAAAACAAUGAUUUUGAUGUCUGAGUAUUUCAUUCUUAGGCCGAAAUCCUGUCACCUUAGGUCGAUCGGUACCUCAACAUUUUUCCAAAGAUUGGUGAGCAAUCAUCAAGAGAUUGGAAGGGAUGUUCAGUUCCUAAACUUUGUCUAGGUCACACCCCGCAAGGGAAGAGUCCCCUGGGCCAUUAGCUCAGGUGGUUAGAGCGCACCCCUGAUAAGGGUGAGGUCCCUGGUUCAAGUCCAGGAUGGCCCAUUCGGUGUUGGGGGUUUAGCUCAGUUGGUAGAGCGCCUGCUUUGCAAGCAGGAUGUCAGGAGUUCGAGUCUCCUAACCUCCACUGACAGAACUCAAUCUCCAUUGUCAGGUAACUCGGAGGAUGAACUCAAAGGUGUGUGAUUUAGAUGUGUCCACUAGAUAGGACCCUAGCUUCCUGUCAUUCCGAACAAGUGAUUAUUGCUUGAUUGGCUGAUAUGAUGCUGGGCUCAAAUUAAUCAAAAGAUUAAUUUGAUCUCUAGUAGAACCUUGACAACUGCAUAAGUAAGUCUGGAAAAACGAAGCAUCUUACAGAUGCAUUGUUUUAAGUCUGAAUUCUCGAAAGAGAGUUUGGAUCUAGAAUGAUGAAAAUUCUUUUAAGCAAGAGCCGAGACUCUUAGAUGUUCUUUUUAUCGUGUCGAGCGAUAAAGAGUUUGAUUUUGUUUUUAUGAGCAGCGAAAGUUGCUGAUGAAACCAGAAGAAUCUGCUUUCAACCGCAGUAAGCGUUUAAGAGGU
rnacentral:misc_RNA from 1 species